rnacentral:rRNA from 1 species
UUCAGAGGUGGCAAGCGUUGUUCGGAAUUACUGGGCGUAAAGGGCGCGUAGGCGGUCUUGUAAGUCUUGUGUGAAAUCCCUCGGCUCAACUGAGGAACUGCACGGGAUACUGCGAGACUUGAGUUCGGGAGAGGGAAGCGGAAUUCCGGGUGUAGCGGUGAAAUGCGUAGAUAUCCGGAGGAACACCGGUGGCGAAGGCGGCUUCCUGGACCGAUCACUGACGCUGAGACGCGAAAGCUAGGGGAGCGAACAGG